AUUGAACGCUGGCGGCAGGCCUAACACAUGCAAGUCGAACGAGUGGCGGACGGGUGAGUAAUGUCUGGGAAACUGCCCGAUGGAUGGGGCUAACUACUGGAAACGGUAGCUACUACCGCAUACCCUCGGAUCUGCCCAGCUGGGAUUAGCUAGUCGGUGGGGUAAUGGCUCACCUAGGCGACGCUCCCUAGCUGGUCUGAGAGGAUGACCAGCCACAGUGGAACUGAGACACGGUCCAGACUCCUACGGGGGGCAGCAGUGGGGAAUAUUGCACAAUGGGCGAAAGGCUGAUGCAGCCAUGCCGCGUGUGUGAAGAAGGCCUUCGGGUUGUAAAGUACUUUCGGCGGGGAGGCGUUACCCGAAGAAGAAGCACCGGCUAACUCCGUGCCAGCAGCCGCGGUAAUAC
rnacentral:rRNA from 1 species